rnacentral:rRNA from 1 species
ACAGCAGUAGCCGCGGUAAUACGGAGGGUGCAAGCGUUAAUCGGAAUUACUGGGCGUAAAGCGUGCGUAGGCGGUUCGUUAAGUCUGUUGUGAAAGCCCCGGGCUCAACCUGGGAAUGGCAAUGGAUACUGGCGAGCUAGAGUGUGUCAGAGGAUGGUGGAAUUCCCGGUGUAGCGGUGAAAUGCGUAGAGAUCGGGAGGAACAUCAGUGGCGAAGGCGGCCAUCUGGGACAACACUGACGCUGAGGCACGAAAGCGUGGGGAGCAAACAGGAUUAGAUACCCCAGUAGUCCCUGUCUCUUAUAC